rnacentral:rRNA from 1 species
CAGCCGCCGCGGUAAAACGGAGGAUCCAAGCGUUAUCCGGAAUCAUUGGGUUUAAAGGGUCCGUAGGCGGUCUUGUAAGUCAGUGGUGAAAGCCCAUCGCUCAACGGUGGAACGGCCAUUGAUACUGCAGGACUUGAAUUAUUGGGAAGUAACUAGAAUAUGUAGUGUAGCGGUGAAAUGCUUAGAGAUUACAUGGAAUACCAAUUGCGAAGGCAGGUUACUACCAAUUGAUUGACGCUGAUGGACGAAAGCGUGGGUAGCGAACAGGAUUAGAUACCCCCGUAGUCCCUGUCUCUUAUAC